GAGGCGGCUGAGGCUGCGGGUUGGUGGCCAUGGCGGUCUGGGCCGGGGAGGGCGCGGGCCCGGGCGGCCGGCGCUCCUGGCAGGCGGCGGCUGCACAGGUCCCGCCGCCUGAGAUUGCCUAUGGCUGCUUUCCUGAUACAAUAGCAGAAUUGAGUAACUGCAACGAACAACAGCGUAUGACGUGCAAGGCCUAAAGUUUGUGCCAUCUGGCUGUUUGCAGAAAAACUUUGAUGAUCUUUGUGCUAGAGUCAAAGAUGCUUCUCACAUAUGCUUCCCCAAACGGCCUCAGAUUUCCCCCUUGCUACAACCCAAAGGCCACAGACCCCUGUUGAAUCAGAAAACUCUGGAGUUGGAAGGAGGUAUUAGUGGAUAUCCAGUGAGAUUUCCCAUCUGAGACCAGAAUCUUCCAAGGAUGCCUUCUCAAGUGAUCCCCUGGAGGUGAAGGCACACCAUUGCCUGAAGGGGCCAACUCACCUUUUUUUGGAAGUUCUGGCUGUUGAAAACUGAUUCCUUAUAUUAAGCUAAAAUCUUGUAGAAAGAAAAACUGUUCAAGUUUUAUUAUUUUAUGAUGCCAUCUCCAGCCUUUGGAAGAGGAAGACUCCAUCAUCAGCAAGGUUGCUUCAAACCAGAAGGCGUGGAAGGAGAUAGAGGUGGAGGGAGGCCAUGUGCCAUCUCUUUGGCCCAGGGUUGAAGGUUUUCCAGGUCACAGGACAGUGCACAGAUCUCCAGAGAUGGUGUGAGGGACUUUAGUUCCCCAACCAGGGAUUGAACCCAUGCCCUCAGCAGUGAAAGCUCAGAGUUCUCACCACUGGAGUGCCAGGGAAUCCCUAUCAUUAGACACAAAUAAUCUGCAGAACUAGAAACAAAGGCUACAAACUCUUGCCACAGAAAAGAUGUAGAGGCACUUUUUUACAGGACAAAUUUUCCUAUUGGCAGAGAUCAUGGAAAAAAAAAAAGUGGUCCCAGGCUGGGGAAGAGACAGGAAAGCAUGAGAGAGAGGAAUGGAAAGCCUCAAUCUGGGACCCUGGGCCUGCAAGGAUGGACCGCCAAGUGCUAGCCAUCCACUCGUCAUCCAUCGAUUUUCUAGUCUUGAGUGAUGCUCAUCUAAGCCUGAGAUUCUGCUCAUCUCCCCUGAAUCUGUGUGGCCACUGCCUUCCUCUUAGCCCUAGCAACCCACUGUUGAAUUCCCAUUUUAUUGACAGAAGAAUGGAGAUUUCAGGAGGCUGAGCAUUGCCUAGAAAUUACCAGCAGGGUUGAAGCUAGAACUUAAGCCUCAUGAAUCCCUGUUGAAAACGCUUUCCAGUACCCCAUAAUAUUGCCUAAAAUCUGAUUUGUGGAUCAUAGUUAUUCAAAGUCAACACUUCUGUCCCUCAUUGUUCCUUGGGCAAUUACUUCUUCUGUGAUGAGGAAUAAACAAGAUGGUGACAGGCUCCUGAAGUUGUUUUGUCAUUUCUAACCUGGCCUUCCACUCCUGAAGCUAAAGACAGGGUUAUUUCUGGUGAAAUCCUUGCUGUAAAGUACACCAAUCAAUUUUCCUUACAAAUGGUUUCUAAUGUGUAAUUAUAUAAUCAAGCAUGCUCAUAAACAAGCCAGGCCUUGACAUAGAGUGAUGGGGUGCAGUAAUAUUUUAAAUAAAAGAUGAUCGCACAGCCAUUUAUUUUGUAGUCCAAUUUUCAGGGUUGGGAACUGUACAUUAAUGGCAGUUUCAAGAUUAGCAGCGAGCUAAAUGUGAAACUCUGUGAGUCAAUGCCUUCGACAUAAACAAAUGUACAAAAAUAGCAUCCUGCAACUGUUUGCAAAGUCUGACAGAGUUUCAGGGCUUUCUGCAAAGCAGAGGGUGCAAAGAGUACCAGAUUCAUCACAUUCUGGCAGCUAUCUAUUCAAAAACAAUGGUUUUGUCUACAAAUGGAAACUGCUAACAGCUUUCUCCAUCCAGUGCAAUCGUCUUUCCAUCUGUUUGGGUUUUAUAAUCAUGUUGCCUUUGGAAAAUUACAACACAGAGCAUAUUCUUUCGAGGUCUGUUGUUGAGCUGAAUAUUCUGGGCCAUGAAAUGGUGACAACAGUGAAGAAUUUCCCUGCAAAAGCAUUGCAACCGUUGCAUCCCCAAAAGCUACCCCUGUGCUGCAAGGCUCUGGCAGGAGUGGAGCGUCAAAUUGUGUUUAGCAGAGCACAGUUUAAAAAACAUUCACAUACACUUGAAUAGCCACAAUCUGACACUUGCACUGCUUUGGUGUAAUGGAUGCUCUUUCUCCCGCCUUCCUUCAUCUUUAUUCCUUACUCCUUUUUUUCCAUUUCCCUACCAAAAUAUAUUAUUACCUAAUGUGUGCAAAGUCAUGAGGGAUCUGGACAGCUCCUCCAGCCUGUGAUCUCAAGAAAGAACAUUAUUCCUUUGUAUCUCCUGAUCCUUUGCCUAGAGUCCAGCUCAUGGUGGGUAUUCAGUACCUAAGUGAUGAAUAAAUGAAUGAAUGAUGCUUUAUCUUUCAUGUGAUGCUUUAUACCUUAUAAAACCUUGUGUACUUUGUAAAACAUUUUCACUGAU